CCGGAGCUUGCUCCACCGGAAAAAGAAGAGUGGCGAACGGGUGAGUAACACGUGGGUAACCUGCCCAUCAGAAGGGGAUAACACUUGGAAACAGGUGCUAAUACCGUAUAACAAUCGAAACCGCAUGGUUUUGAUUUGAAAGGCGCUUUCGGGUGUCGCUGAUGGAUGGACCCGCGGUGCAUUAGCUAGUUGGUGAGGUAACGGCUCACCAAGGCCACGAUGCAUAGCCGACCUGAGAGGGUGAUCGGCCACAUUGGGACUGAGACACGGCCCAAACUCCUACGGGAGGCAGCAGUAGGGAAUCUUCGGCAAUGGACGAAAGUCUGACCGAGCAACGCCGCGUGAGUGAAGAAGGUUUUCGGAUCGUAAAACUCUGUUGUUAGAGAAGAACAAGGAUGAGAGUAACUGUUCAUCCCUUGACGGUAUCUAACCAGAAAGCCACGGCUAACUACGUGCCAGCAGCCGCGGUAAUACGUAGGUGGCAAGCGUUGUCCGGAUUUAUUGGGCGUAAAGCGAGCGCAGGCGGUUUCUUAAGUCUGAUGUGAAAGCCCCCGGCUCAACCGGGGAGGGUCAUUGGAAACUGGGAGACUUGAGUGCAGAAGAGGAGAGUGGAAUUCCAUGUGUAGCGGUGAAAUGCGUAGAUAUAUGGAGGAACACCAGUGGCGAA
rnacentral:rRNA from 4 species